AUGCCCUACAUACCAGCAGACGUCACAAACCUAAAGGCAAAGUACCAUAGAGAGAGUAGGUUGGCUGACAUAGAAGACACAAUAGCCUACUUCGAAGAGAAAGCAAAAGCAGAUACUGAUUUCUUCUACAGGAUAAGAUUGGACGAUGAGGACCGUGUUAGAAACAUGUAUUGGGUGGAUGGUGCUGCAAGAAGAUCCUAAAAACAUUUCCGUGAUUGCAUUUCGUUCGACACAACAUAUCUCACGAAUAUGUACAAGAUGCCAUGAACUCCAUUCAUAGGAAUAAAUAACCACAAUCAGUCAUUGCAGUUCGGUUGCGGACUCGUUCAAAACGAAGAUACAGAUGGUUACACUUGGCUGUUCAAAAUCUUCUUGGAGUGCAUGGGUGGACUUGCUCUAAUGAACAUAAUAACAUACCAGGAUUUUAGCAUGCGUGCAGGCAUAGAGGAGGUCUUUCCGUUGGCAGUGCACAGGCACUGCAGGUGGCAUAUUAUUAAGAAGGCUGACCGUCCAGAACUACACAAGGCAUUCGAGUUGUGCAUGGACCACAGCUUGACGGUGGAGGAGUUUGAACGGAGCUGGAUGACUAUGAUUGAAACAUACCAAGUCCAAGACAACGAGACACUUAAUAGCCUGUGGGAGAAGCGAAUGUACUGGGUGCCGGCCUACUUCAUGUAG
rnacentral:rRNA from 1 species